UCCCUGGUGGCUCAGAUGGUAAAGAAUCUGCCUGCAAUGUAGAAGACCUGGGUUCAAUCCCUGGUUGGGAA
rnacentral:tRNA from 1 species